CUACGGGAGGCAGCAGUGGGGAAUCUUGCACAAUGGAGGAAACUCUGAUGCAGCGAUGCCGCGUGAGUGAAGAAGGCCCUUGGGUUGUAAAGCUCUUUCGUCGGGGAAGAAAAUGACUGUACCCGAAUAAGAAGGUCCGGCUAACUUCGUGCCAGCAGCCGCGGUAAUACGAAGGGACCUAGCGUAGUUCGGAAUUACUGGGCUUAAAGAGUUCGUAGGUGGUUGAAAAAGUUGGUGGUGAAAUCCCAGAGCUUAACUCUGGAACUGCCAUCAAAACUUUUCAGCUAGAGUAUGAUAGAGGAAAGCAGAAUUUCUAGUGUAGAGGUGAAAUUCGUAGAUAUUAGAAAGAAUACCAAUUGCGAAGGCAGCUUUCUGGAUCAUUACUGACACUGAGGAACGAAAGCAUGGGUAGCGAAGAGGAUUAGAUACCCUCGUAGUCCAUGCCGUAAACGAUGUGUGUUAGACGUUGGAAAUUUAUUUUCAGUGUCGCAGCGAAAGCGAUAAACACACCGCCUGGGGAGUACGACCGCAAGGUUGAAACUCAAAGGAAUUGACGGA
rnacentral:rRNA from 1 species